GACGAACGCUGGCGGCGCGCUUAACACAUGCAAGUCGAGCGAGAACCAGGCCUUCGGGCCUGGGGACAGCGGCGAACGGGUGAGUAACACGUGGGUAAUCAACCCUCGAUACUGGGAUAGCCCGGGGAAACCCGGAUUAAUACCGGAUGGCCCUUUGGAUCCUCGGAUCUGACGGAAAAGGUAGCUUCGGCCUCCGAUCGAGGACGAGCCCGCGGCGGAUUAGCUUGUUGGUGGGGUUUUGGCCUACCAAGGCGACGACGGGUAGCCGGCCUGAGAGGGUGUCCGGCCACACUGGGACUGAGAUACGGCCCAGACUCCUACGGGAGGCAGCAGUGGGGAAUAUUGCACAAUGGGCGCAAGCCUGAUGCAGCGACGCCGCGUGGGGA
rnacentral:rRNA from 1 species